rnacentral:rRNA from 1 species
AGAGUUUGAUCCUGGCUCAGAAUCAACGUUGGCGGCGCGCCUAACACAUGCAAGUCGAACGAGAAAGGGGAGCAAUCCCUGAGUAAAGUGGCGUACGGGUGAGUAACACGUGGGUAAUCUACCCUUUGGUGGGGAAUAACGCUGGGAAACCGGCGCUAAUACCGCAUAAUUCCGCAAGGACAAAGUCGAAAGACGCCGAAGGAUGAGCCCGCGGCUGAUUAGCUAGUUGGUAGGGUAAUGGCCUACCAAGGCAAAGAUCGGUAGCCGGCCUGAGAGGGCACACGGCCACACUGGCACUGAAACACGGGCCAGACUCCUACGGGAGGCAGCAGUGGGGAAUCUUGCACAAUGGGGGAAACCCUGAUGCAGCGACGCCGCGUGAACGAUGAAGCCCUUCGGGGUGUAAA